rnacentral:rRNA from 1 species
UACGUAGGGACCAAGCGUUGUCCGGAAUCAUUGGGCGUAAAGCGCGCGUAGGUGGCCAUUUAAGUCCGCUGUGAAAGUCAAAGGCUCAACCUUUGAAAGCCGGUGGAUACUGGGUGGCUAGAGUACGGAAGAGGCGAGUGGAAUUCCUGGUGUAGCGGUGGAAUGCGCAGAUAUCAGGAGGAACACCGAUGGCGAAGGCAGCCCCCUGGGUCAAGACUGACGCUCAUGCACGAAAGCGUGGGGAGCAAACAGG